rnacentral:lncRNA from 1 species
UUUAUUUAGCUUUUUUGUUAAUUAUGCAUGCAGUGUUGACAGAACAUCUCAAAAACUGCAUCAUCUGAUUAUGGUGCAGUUUAGAUCACAAUUAAAAGUCAUAAAAUCAUAUGAAAUUCUUUCCCUCACAUCUAUAAAAGCAUGGAAAUAUAGGCCUAUUCAAACUGACUGAAUGUCAAAAGUAGCAGAAUGUGGAUCUUGUAAUGUUACAUUAAUGUUUGUCAACAGUGUUAUAGCCUUUUGGACGAUUAGAUUUAAGUAAUUUCACAAUGGACUAUAAACAGGAAGUUUACACCUUUAUGGCAGAAGUCUUGUUUGCAGUUGACAGACACACACUGGCAGGGUUUCUAGCUGAUCCUUAGCAAUCCUUGCAUGGCAUUUAGAAAAGAAAUGACGGCUUCUGCCCGGCCUUUGCAGGGCGCCUGUGUGCGAGUGAAGACGAGUGAUGGAGAUGAACUAUCUUUGCUGAAAAGGUUGGCGGAUGUGCAUCAGCAUGGAAAAACAAUCCAGGUUAUGUAUCCGCGCCUCCUCCACAUGCUAGAAAACACCAUCUUCUGUAUAUGUUGCAUGAAAUGCCGUCUUUUUCCUUGAAUAAAACCGAGUUGGGGUGGGGGCUUGGGUAUCUUUGCUCUUGUCUGCGAGACCUCCCUGGGGUGCGUUGCCGUGGAAACGGCCCCAGGUAAAUCAGCCUCCUGAAGGUGGUUUCUUGUGGUUCCAUUCCGCUUCAAUAGGCCAGGGACUGUGUAUUUCUCCCAGCGUGGGAAACAGAACAGGCUAAAUGAAGUCGACAGUCAAAGGCCCCAGGGAAGCCCACAGGCAGACUUGUGUACCAGACUCAUUGGGCUGAUCAGCUAAACGCACUCCAUUAAGGUGGGUCUCAUGUACUAGUGAGUACUGAUUGAAGAGUGCGCUGAUUAAAAACAGAUGACAUGACCUUAAAGUCAACAUGGAAUCCAAACUGAUCCUAUUUACUCCGUACAUAUACCUGGACUUAUAGUGAACGGUUCAUUGGUGUGUGUUAUUCUAAAGAAAAUAUUGUAUUUGGAGUUUUUCCUAGGAGUGUUUCCCCAAACAGCCUGUCAUAUAGAGAACACCUUUUACAUCCAUAAAAUACUAUUGUUUUAAAUAGAAUUAUAUUCCUUUGGGCCCAUUAACACCAAGAACAAUAACUAUAAUAAUAAUUAUAUAAGCGUCCACACCAAUGCAAGCUAACCUUCUGUUUAUUUUAAGCAAAUGCUGCAGUUUUGUCAUCUGUUGCUUUAAAUGUUUG